rnacentral:rRNA from 1 species
UACGGGGGGGGGCAAGCGUUUGUUCGGAAUUACUGGGCGUAAAGGGCUCGUAGGCGGCCAACUAAGUCAGACGUGAAAUCCCUCGGCUUAACCGGGGAACUGCAUCUGAUACUGGAUGGCUUGAGUUCGGGAGAGGGAUGCGGAAUUCCAGGUGUAGCGGUGAAAUGCGUAGAUAUCGGGAGGAGCACCAGUGGCGAAGGCGACUACCUGGCCCAUUCUUGACACUGAGGCGCGAAAGCUAGGGGAGCGAACGGG